AGAUAAGCGGAGGUAUUCGGGGAGACAGGUGGUGCAUGGUUGUCGUCAGCUCGUGUCGUGAGAUGUUGGGUUAAGUCCCGCAACGAGCGCAACCCCUAUUGCUAGUACCAUCAUUAAGUUGGGGACUCUAGCGAGACUGCCAGUGAUAAACUGGAGGAAGGUGGGGAUGACGUCAAAUCAUCAUGCCCCUUAUGACCUGGGCUACAAAUGUGAUACAAUGGCUGGAACAAAGGGAUGCGAAGCAGUGAUGUGGAGCGAAACCCAUAAAAACAGUCUCAGUUCGGAUUGAAGUCUGCAACUCGACUUCAUGAAGUCGGAAUCGCUAGUAAUCGCGGAUCAGAACGCCGCGGUGAAUACGUUCUCGGGGUUU
rnacentral:rRNA from 1 species